rnacentral:rRNA from 1 species
GAUGAACGCUGGCGGCGUGCCUAAUACAUGCAAGUCGAGCGAACAGACGAGGAGCUUGCUCCUCUGACGUUAGCGGCGGACGGGUGAGUAACACGUGGAUAACCUACCUAUAAGACUGGGAUAACUUCGGGAAACCGGAGCUAAUACCGGAUAAUAUAUUGAACCGCAUGGUUCAAUAGUGAAAGACGGUUUUGCUGGCACUUAUAGAUGGAUCCGCGCCGCAUUAGCUAGUUGGUAAGGUAACGGCUUACCAAGGCAACGAUGCGUAGCCGACCUGAGAGGGUGAUCGCCCACACUGGAACUGAGACACGGUCCAGACUCCUACGGGAGGCAGCAGUAGGGAAUCUUCCGCAGUGGGCGAAAGCUUGACGGAGCAACGCCGCGUGAGUGAUGAAGGUCUUCGGAUCGUAAAACUCUGUUAUUAGGGAUGAACAACUGUGUAAGUAACUAUGCACGUCUUGACGGUACCUAAUCAGAAAGCCCCGGCUAACUACGUG